CCCCCCACCCCCACCCCACCCCCCGUUUACUAAACUUAGUUCACACCCUUUUGUCCUAUCACGUUUUUCCAUGACUUCGCAUUCUUCAUCAAACCUUGGGUAACACUCAGGUUUAACCAUUUUUGUGGGUCCUCAUUUCCUUAUGAAGGCUUCCAUAUCAUUUAAAACCAAUAAACAUGUAUGCUGUCUCUUAUUAAUCUGUCUUUUGUUAUAGAUGCCCAGAUGAGAACCUAGGAUAGAAAAAUCUUUUUUUUUUUCCUACCCUAUAGUAGAAAUCCUGUAAUUUGGCUUAUGCACAUUCCUGGAGGAUUUCAGAGGAUGUAUUGGGAUGUAGUAUCGAUUUAAGUGGUCAGGGAAGGCUCCCUGGAGGAAGCAAAGUAUGAUUAGAGACAUAAAGGAACACCGCAUAAUGGGAAACCAGAGAUUAGGUGGCCACUGUCCAGAAGCAUAGAGGGUUUCAGCAGCGCGUGUGCCCACGCACUGCAGCCAAAAGGCGCCGCGCCGCCAUUGUUCAGCCCUGCGGUCGCUCGCCAGGCGCCUGGCAAGGUCACGUGACGGAAUGGAGGACGGCGGCCCCCAAGGGACGAUCCUGUGAGCAGCUGCGCAGCGUGAGGGGGCGGGGCCAGGUGCGCCUCGGGGCCCGUGUCUUCCGGCUCUCGAUGGGAUUCCUCUGUUUGCAGAAUUUCCAACAGCAGUUUGCAUUACAUUCCCGAGGAGAUCGCCCCUAUUCCCGGACUGCUCCCCUGCUUCUUCCCUCCGGGGAGGUCAGAGGAGGGGCAAUUCCUGUGUUUCGAUUUUAGAAAUUUCAGAAUAUAGUUAGCCUUUACUCAGAAAAAUAAAGUGGUGUUUUCAUUUCCUGGGACGUUUUGUUUUACCAUUAUUGUCUGUAAAACGUUGCUUAUAAGCAAAUUUAUAGUACUGUUUUUAUUUCUCAUUUAAUUUCAUUGGUCUGAACUUUGAAAUGUUUAAAAAAUUAUGUUGAAGCUAUUGUGCUUCGUUAAAGUGGGAAUACCAUUUUAAUAAAGUUGAGUUUUAGGUUU